AGGCGGCGGGGCCGGGGGCUGCUCCCCAGCCCUCCUGCCUUCCUUUCGGGGUCUGGGUUGCAAGGCCGGCUGCGGCAAGAAGGCAGAACCUGGUGGCGGGACUGGAGCUUCACUUCCUACUUGGUAGAUUUCCCUGUUCAUUUCAGCCCCAGGCAGCACGCUUCCUUCGCGGGCCGGAAGCCAAACGGGCCCGGAAUCCCCAAACCUUUUCAAAUGCUUUCUUUAGAGGAGCCUUUCACUUUUCAGGAAAAAAACGUGACCUUGUUUGAGUACGUCUUAAGUUUUUUCACCUGUAAGAACAUGCAAGUUGAGGCCUUUCAGGAGAUAAGGAAAACUUUGCAGAGGAUGAACAGUGAUUUUUUUUUUUAACCCCCCCCUUCCUGUUUUUCCUGGAAAAAGGAACACAGACCUCCAAAACAUUUUCUUAUUCUACAAGGGACCUGGAGUUUUGUUCGGUACUUGUUAUUAUGGAGUCUUAGUUCGAGGCUAUGAUCUCUGUUUUAAGUUCACAUCCUUUAGAUUUUUUUUCUGAAUAAUGAUUUUCUGGAAAGAGUUUCACUUGUCAACUCUGAAUUCUAACUGCCCAAAUUUUAGAAUGAAGGUUGCACACCUUUGGGUAGGAUUGCCCUGAAAUUUAUAGACCCAGUCAUUCUUUUGAAUUCCUUGUACUACAAAAUAUAGUUCAAAUAUAUUACAUGGCCCCCAUUUAUUAUUGGUGUGUGCUGUUACACAAAAUACCGACUUAAAAGCAGGAAGCAUUAAAUGUAGCCGUUGAAAAUAAACCUUUGAACAUCUUUGGUAUCAGUGGUAAAUUCUUUUAUGUGUCGGCUAAUUCUUUUAAGGAGCUUUUCUGAUUCCAAGUCUUGGUCUUGGUGAUUUUCAUAUCUUAUCUCUAAAGUCAAUUGUAAAGUAGAGCAUUUUUAAUUUUUACAACUGUUUGCAAUAGAGACCUGUAGGGCAGGGCUUCUCAAACUUGCUUGUGCAUAGGAAUCCCUUGGGGCUUCUAUUUAAAAAUGCAAAUUCUGAUCUGUAGAUCUGUAAUGCAGCCUGAAAAUCUGUAUUUCUUACAAGCUCCUACGUGCUGCUGGUUAAGAAAUGAUCUUUGGGUAGCAUGCAUGUAGACUGCUUGUGUGCUAAGAAAUAAAAUGAUGAUGUGUCAGUGAACAAGUGCCUUUUAAGAAUUCACUUAGGGUGUAGAAGUGGCUCAAGAGGCAAAGAUGGCAGGGAACUGAGAUCGCUUGCUUUAGGGAAAUCCCUUAUGCAGAAUAAACCUAGUCCAGGUUCUAGGGGAGGGAAUAGGGGAACUGGGGAACUCCCUCAUCUAGGAAGCCUGCAGGUACCACCUGUACAUGCUAUGUGUUAUCUUCAUCAGUUGGCCUGUGACUUUUCAUGGAAGUUUGAUGUACUUCUUGCUGAAGGACUUGCUCAGCAAUGGGUAGUUGGAUUUUAUCAACAUAAAGUCUAUGACUCAUCCUGUCUUGAAUGAAAGUUUCUUUUAUUGGUAAAAGUAUUGAGUAUGUUCUCUUUCUGUCUCUCGCUCCAGUGCAGCCUCAAUUGAGUAGUGCAUGCCCUAAGCCUUGGAAGCAAACUUGUAAACAAUUUAGGGUUUUCACCUGUUGAUUUUUUCCUAAAUUAAAAAAAAAAUUAUAAAUGGGAGAGUUUGCAUUUAAAAAACAAUGUUGAAAAAACAUUGUUUAAAAGUGUCACAUGUAAAACAAUGUUUAAAAGUGUCACAUGUAACUUCAUAAUAUACUUUAUGUACAUAAAAAUGAUUGUACGUAAAUUUUGAAAAACUUUAUGGAAGUGUAACAUCAACUCCUUUUAGCACUGUCAUUUGUGUAGUCUUUAUUCCAGUCCUUUACCAUAGUUUUUUUCAUGUUAAGUAACAGUACUUUUUUUUCCUUCCAGUUUCUUUGAGAUAUAAUUGGUAUAUAGCACUUCGUAAGUUUAAGGUGCACAGCGUAAUGAUUUGACAUACAUCAUGAAAUGAUUAUCACAGUGAGUGCAGUGAACAUCUGUCAUCUCCUAUAGGUACAGAAUUAAAGAGAAAACAUUUUUUUCCUGUGAUGAGUACUCUUAGGAUUUAUUUGCUUGAUAACUUUCCUGUAUAAAGUAAAACAGUGUUACUUACGUUUAUCAUGUUGUGCAGUACAUACCUAGUACUUAUUUAUCUUUUAACUGGAAGCUUGUAGCUUUUGUCUACAUUUAACUCCUCCUCCCUGCACC
rnacentral:lncRNA from 1 species